rnacentral:lncRNA from 10 species
CAUCUCUUAUUUAGAAAAAUGAACAGAUGAUAUUAUUUGGUUACAACUUUUAAGAUGACUUCUUAACACUGAUCUCAGAAAGUGGAUUUCGAUAACAACAUACAGUUGUCUCUCACACUGGCUGCACUAUCCAUUGGACUGUGGUGGACUUUUGAUAGAUCUAGAAGUGGUUUUGGCCUUGGAGUAGGAAUUGCCUUCUUGGCAACUGUGGUCACUCAACUGCUAGUAUAUAAUGGUGUUUACCAAUAUACAUCUCCAGAUUUCCUCUAUGUUCGUUCUUGGUUACCAUGUAUAUUUUUUGCUGGAGGCAUAACAAUGGGAAACAUUGGUCGACAACUGGCAAUGUACGAAUGUAAAGUUAUCGCAGAAAAAUCUCAUCAGGAAUGAAGAAGGCAAAAAAUAUCUUUUGUACAGAAAAGCAAGAUGAAAAGGAUGUGAAAUGGUAGAUAUACCAACAAAACUUCAGACUGUAAAAUUGCCAGGAUGCAGUUUUCCCCUUGAUUGGCGUGUGUGUAUAUAUGGAUAAAUAUAU